AUGUAACAAUUACGAUAUCAUAAUUACACCUCUCUCUCCAUGUGCUCCCCUCUUUUUAAUUUUCAAGCUGUAUAAAAGUAGAUUUAUAAAUUCAUGCCUGAGGUAAUAGCCUAACAAGACAGUGAUCAAGCUAAUUUGGGAAGAUGAUUAGCUACACUAGAACUGAGACUUGAUCUAGACUCCUACGAGAGACAGUAGUGGAGAAUUUUCUACAAUGGAUAAAGUUUGAUCGAGU
rnacentral:rRNA from 1 species